CUCGUGCAUCUGCUAUGCGCAUCUCCGCUGGUGGUGAGCCACGGUCUCCACAGGACAGCAUGACUGCAGACAAGCCAUACGCAUUCCGCCAUCCGCUGCCCGGACAAGCUGCGCUCUCCCGCGGCGUGGAAUGCAGCGCCCCCUCCUGGCUGUAUGCUUACUCAGAUGGAGGAGGUCAGGUUCCUGGACCAUAGCGGUGUCUCCUGCCCACAGGGUGAUCCCUCGAAACCACAGCCAGUGCUGAAUGAUGCCGAUGGAAAAUGAAAGCAGACAGCACCGCCCUGCACCUGAUUAUAGGAACCCUGGCAUGAUUGUUCUUGCGAAACUAUGAGGCCCCCCCAGAGCUACUCAGGACUAUGACAUCAUGGCAAGCUGGUGCAAUGUGUGACCCAGAAUCCUUUGUGGUUCCUGUUGGAUCAGGAGAGGCAUGCCCUGUGCUAAUUUUUCUGCUCUGAUGAACUCCCUCACAUUUUCACCUUUGGUCACGAACUCAGAAACUCCAAAUUAGGACUCAGUCCCCGUGCAGCCCAGAUGAUGUGUGAUUGGAUAUUAUGGGAAAUUAGUCCCGCCCUACACAUGCACUGUCACCUUGGCAGCCAUAUCGCACAGUAGUGUGUCUCUCUCUGGCAUCCCAGGUGGUGUGUUUUUCUCUGGAAUUAUGGGUAAAACUGCUCAGUCUUUCAAAGAAGUGUUUAAUGUUCGGCAGUCAGGUGACCUUGGAGGUUUUUCUCUCUCUACUUGGGAGUUUUUGAUUCCGCUCCUCCGUUGUCUUCUGUUUUUCUCUCUUUUCAUUUCUUUGUCCUCGCCAUUCCCCUGUUUUAGUAUUAUUCUGUAUAAAUGGUGCAGCGAUGUAUCACAACACUCAUGUAAAUCACUUUGAGGUGAUUCUGUUGGGAACGGUGCUAUAAAAAAUAAAUAUAAUCCAAACUGAAUUGAAUCAGGUGACAGUAUCAUUUUUAGCAAGUGAUUCUUAUGUGGUGAAAUCUUACCUUUGUGGUUCAGGGGGUUUGGAUGCUAUGCCUGUGGUUGGAAAGUCGCCAGUUCGAAUCUCAAGGUUGGUAGUGUGAUGUCACCGUUGGACCCCUGAACAAGGCCCAUAACCCCCCUUAUUCAGGGACAGUGUGACCCAGCCUUCUCAAUUGUACAUGGCUUUGGGCACAAAUGUUUGCCAAAGUAAAUGUAAGACGAGGUUAUUAUUAUAGUAAGAUUUAGGAUUAGCUGAACAGCAUGAGAGUGGAGAUUGAAUUCGUACUUCUACAUCUCACCUUCUUUCAGACCAGAUUUCACGGCUUUGGUAGUUAAUGGCUCCUGUAGCUGACCUCCCCAUUCUGUAGCACCCAGGGGGCGACACAUAAAUCUUCCCCUGACCAGCAGAGGGCAGCAAAGAGUAGAACCGGCCAUCUCUUCUAGGGCCUUGUUUAGGAAUGAGAGGACCAAAGGUCAACAGCGGGAGG